rnacentral:rRNA from 1 species
AUACGUAGGGGGCGAGCGUUGUCCGGAAUGAUUGGGCGUAAAGGGCGCGUAGGCGGCCCGGUAAGUCUGGAGUGAAAGUCCUGUUUUUAAGAUGGGAAUUGCUUUGGAUACUGUCGGGCUUGAGUGCAGGAGAGGUAAGUGGAAUUCCCAGUGUAGCGGUGAAAUGCGUAGAGAUUGGGAGGAACACCAGUGGCGAAGGCGACUUUCUGGGAUGUAACUGACGCUGAGGCGCGAAAGUGUGGGGAGCAAACAGGAUUAGAUACCCUGGUAGUCCACACUGUAAACGAUGAAUGCUAGGUGUAGGGGGUAUCGACCCCUUCUGUGCCGCAGUCAACACAAUAAGCAUUCCGCCUGGGGAGUACGGCCGCAAGGUUGAAACUCAAAGGAAUUGACGGGG